rnacentral:rRNA from 1 species
UACGGAGGGUGCGAGCGUUAAUCGGAAUUACUGGGCGUAAAGGGUGCGUAGGUUGUUUAAUAAGUUAUCUGUGAAAGCCCUGGGCUCAACCUGGGAAGGCCAGAUAAGACUGUUGGACUCGAGUAUGGGAGAGGGUAGUGGAAUUUCCGGUGUAGCGGUGAAAUGCGUAGAGAUCGGAAGGAACACCAGUGGCGAAGGCGGCUACCUGGCCUGAUACUGACACUGAGGCACGAAAGCCAGGGGAGCAAACAGG